UACACACCGCCCGUCACAUCACGAAAGCCGGCUGUACCGGAAGUCGCCGUGCUAACCGUAAGGAGGCAGGUGCCCAUGGUAUGGUCGGUGAUUGGGGUG
rnacentral:rRNA from 1 species